UUUCCAAUUUCGCUUAAUCUCCCGGCAGGGAGAGCGGGGGAACCAAACGAUGGUUCGCACUUGAUUGUUUGCAUCGUACAUAGAGAUGCGAAAGGCAAGGGCCGUGUCGGUAAAUUCCUUGGGGUGAAUUGCAAGUGUUGCCACGAGCAGGGCAAUGACUUGCAUAGGGCAGCUCUCUUAGCCCGAACCCGGCAGCUAACCUCGCAAGCGCAUAAAAGAGAGAUC
rnacentral:sRNA from 1 species